AAAUUUCCAAGGGUGGCUGUGAAACUUACUUUCGUGGUAGUGGUGGACCCUUGAAGCGUUUUUGGAAAGUAGAUGAAAGAGGGAGAUGUUUACUAAUUCUGUUAUUUUUAUUCAGUGGGUGGUGCUUGAGUGGGUAUAAUUUCCUCUCUAACAUUCUGUCAUGUUCCAUGUAACUUAGAUAAAGCACACUCUGGCAUAUAGGAAUUUCCCUACUUGCUUACCUUGGGAUGUGGAGUGUGUGUGGCUUUGUCAGACUCGGCUGAUGUAAUGAAAAAUGGAAUUAAAAAACGUGACUGAGAGUCCUACUAAAGUCUGAGCUCUCUGGUUUAAAAAAAAACCAACGCAGCUGUAUUGCUAUGUCUCACUUACCAUAUACAGUUCACCCAUUUAAAGUGUACAAUUCUUUUUUUUUUUUUAACUGUUAGGUUGUGCAAGCAUCACAAUUUAAGUCCAAAACAUUCCCAUUCCUCAGUCUCUGAUUGUAGAAACAAAUGAUCUAUGACUAUUUCUUACCAUGAGUAUGCAGAUUAUUUGAUGCACAGCUUUUUAUUUUACCUUCUUUAUAGAUUUCCACCCAGGAAAAAAUUUUAAUCCCAGGUUGUCUCUUACUUGUAUGAAGUUUUCUGUAAUAAUUUCUUAAUUAUUGUAAUUCUAUGAACAUCAACUGAAAUGUAAUUUUAUUAAUAGCUUAUUCUGUAAAAAUGCUAUUAAUAAUAAUAAAAAUAUCAAAAAACGUUUUGAAGGCAUUGCAUUACCUGCCGUUUUGGAUUAUGAUCAUUCUUUUGUGUGGAUAGUUGAAGAUUUUAAUUUUUUGACAAGCUCAAUUGAAUUAGGGAAGUAAGUUUGCUGCUAUUGCAAAAUCAUAUAAUGCAUGUUAAAUAUCAGUUAUCAGUGUAAUUUGUUUUUUUAAUGCAGCAGCUGGUUUCUAGGCUUAGGAAUGAUAGUUGGCAGAUUUUCCUACUGCUUUCCUGUGAUGUUUGUUAGAAGCUUCUAGUAUAGUUUCUUCAUUUCUAAGCUUUUGAGACUGAUUGUAUGCUGCUUAUCUAUAUAUGUAGAUAAGUUUCUUGUCUUUCAAGGUCUUUUCAAGAGGUGCUGGAGCAGAUUUAGGAACGCAGCAUAGUUUAAUAUUGUUAAGCAGGGAUGUGUACCUGAAUCUCUUUUGGAAGUACAAAAAUUCACCAAGUUGGUACCUCCGGCUACCCAACUCUGAUAUGGAAACCUGGGGUGAUCUGCUGUCAAUUACGAGUUGCACCUCAGCUAGAGAACCGUUGUUAAUUUAUUUGUCCUCUAAUUGAAAAUCUGGAGCUCGAGCUUACUCAUUGAUCUUGGUCUAGUUACUGUAUUCCCAUCCUUUCCUGUGUAAUUGAGAAAGAGCUUUUGAUAGGAAGUAGUAUAUGGAAAAGUAAUUCAACC
rnacentral:lncRNA from 1 species